rnacentral:rRNA from 1 species
UACGAAGGGUGCAAGCGUUACUCGGAAUUACUGGGCGUAAAGCGUGCGUCGGUGGUUUUUUAAGUCCGUUGUGAAAGCCCUGGGCUCAACCUGGGAAUGGCAGUGGAUACUGGAAAGCUAGAGUGCGGUAGAGGGUAGUGGAAUUCCCGGUGUAGCAGUGAAAUGCGUAGAGAUCGGGAGGAACACCAGUGGCGAAGGCGGCUACCUGGACCAGCACUGACACUGAGGCACGAAAGCGUGGGGAGCAAACAGG